GAUGAAGAACGUAGCGAAAUGCGAUAAGUAGUGUGAAUUGCAGAAUUCAGUGAAUCAUCGAAUCUUUGAACGCACAUUGCGCCUCCUGGUAUUCCGGGAGGCAUGCCUGUUCGAGCGUCAUUAAAUCACUCAAGCUUAGGUUUACCUAUUGCUUGGUCUUGGAGAUGGAAGCCAAUUUAUUGGAAUCCUCUUCGAAAUUCAAUGGCGAAGACCCUUGCUCUCCCAAGUGUAGUAAUAACUUAUGUCACUGAAGGAAGCGAGAAAUCUUCUGCCGUAACCCCCAUAUUUUCUAUGAUUGACCUCGGAUCAGGUAGGGAUACCCGCUGAACUUAAGCAUAUCAAUAAGCGGAGGA
rnacentral:misc_RNA from 1 species